GUAGUCCACGCCGUAAACGAUGGAUACUAGCUGUUGGGAGCAAUCUCAGUGGCUAAGCGAAAGUGAUAAGUAUCCCACCUGGGGAGUACGAACGCAAGUUUGAAACUCAAAGGAAUUGACGGGGGCCCGCACAAGCGGUGGAGCAUGUGGUUUAAUUCGAUGAUACGCGAGGAACCUUACCAAGGCUUAAAUGGGGAGUGACAGGUGUGGAAACACGCCCUUCUUCGGACACUCUUCAAGGUGCUGCAUGGUUGUCGUCAGCUCGUGCCGUGAGGUGUCAGGUUAAGUCCUAUAACGAGCGCAACCCCUGUUGUUAGUUGCCAGCGAGUCAUGUCGGGAACUCUAACAAGACUGCCGGUGCAAACCGUGA
rnacentral:rRNA from 1 species